CCCACUGGUGCGCUGGGUUGACUAGCUCACGCGCACAACCUGUCGAACACCCAUCGUCCUGUGUGCGGUACAUCUACUGGAUGUGAGCCCACGGCGGCCAUAACUCCGAAAACAUCCGGAGGAGGUGCAGCCAGGAGGAGGUGCAGCCCGGGGGAGGCGCGAUACUGAUGCGCGGGUGAUGAACGACUGUACUUCCACCCGGCGACAUCACUGGACGUGAGGAAUUUCGAACCUAACCGCCUCAUAGCGCGAGAUUGGGAAAGACAUUACACAGCAGUCCCGCUGCUGGGUCUGGGAAAAGGCACCUCCAGCAGGGACUGUCGACGGUGCCAGCUGAGCGUCCACACCCUUCUGCCUCUGACGCACUCACCUCUAACUGCUGCCACGCUGAGCGGCCUGGCCUUUGUAGCGUCCGCGCGGAUGGACCAAGGCCAGUUGCCGCGCCGAUCGACGGCCAACUGC